GUUGCGCGCAUUAUUGUGUGUUCUUAAUCCAUAUGUAAUGGGUUUAAGCUUGCUAUAAAAGGCUCAAGCAAUGAUUCAUUUCUCAUUAGUAAACACCAAUUUAUUGAAUCAUUUCUCAAUUCAAUAAAAAUGAAAAAUCAACCUUUCAUUUCCUUACAAUAAGUAAUCAUGUAAAGAAGGGACGGGAUUAUGAUUGAUGAUCAAUUUAAUCAUCCAUCUAAUUACAACAAUUAAGCAAAUGAAAAAACAAACAAAAGAGACUACACUCUCUAAUUAAGCAAAGACAAAACAAAAGUAGACAAUACUACUUUACUAUACUACUUCUACUAUUAAUGUUGUGGCUAGCUAGCAACUUAAAACAUCAUUAAUUGAUUGUAUAUUGGUUCUUUUAAAGUUUCUGAAGAAAAAUAAAAAAUAAAAAGGACAAAAAAUUAGGGACGGAGAGAGUAAUGAACAUCGGGCAAACAUUCAAAACCGUCUGGGAUUUGCCUUUUGCAAAAAUUGACAAGUUCAGUGAAUGCAACUGGAAUGUUGAAAACCACUCCCAUAAUAUUUAAUCUUAGGGCAGUACACAUACAAAUUGCAAAGUCAAAAUCAAAUAAACCAUCGAGAAAAGUGCAACAAGAGGUUGAUGGUAUACCGAUAGAAGUGUUGAACCACCCUAAUACACUUGUGCAUGUACCUAAUUUGAUAACAUCACGUGGGCAUGUUGCAUGAAAAGGGUAUGGGUGGUGUGGGGGUUUAGGUGGGGUUCUGGGAGUAGGUUUACAGGGGGUUUUGGGAAUGGGUUUAACCGGGUUUUUGGGAGUGGGUUUAGGAGGGGNNNNNNNNNNNNNNNNGUUUUGGGAGUGGGAGUGGGUUUAGGGGGGGUUUUGGGAGUGGGAGUGGGUUUUGGAUGUGAAGAUACAAGUGUAAAAAAUAGAAUAUUGAGUGUGAGGAAAAUAACUAAGGAACAAUUUUUUUGUGUCAUGAUCACAAAACUUUUAAAGUGGUGAAAAAUGAGAAGUUCAUUGGGAUUUAUUUAUAGUGCUCAUGGUGUUGGUGAUUUAUGAGAAUGUAUUUACGUGGCCCUUAAGCCUAAAAAUUAGGUUGUAUGGAUCUAAUGCUACCAACUAGCAUAUGUUAAGGCAAUGUUUGAGUAUUUGGUGUGUUAGAAGCUUGUGAUUUGUGAAGGAAAGUGGGGACUUGAGAAAUCUAUGGAUCUAUAAAGAAAUGUUACAUGAAUCUUGUGACUUGAUCCUUUCUUCGAUUUUAUUAUAGUAAGAUAAAUUGAAUCAUAGAAUUGGUCAGAUAACUAGACUUUUUACUCGUGCUAUAAAAUUUAAUAUCAGCAUAUGUAACUAGACUUAAUAUUAGAUAACUAGACUUUUUACAUGUUUCUCAUCAAACCCACAAUGAUAAUCUAAUAUUACAGAUAAAUAGAUCACUGUAAUUUUGACAAAUCUAUCGGGAAGGACCUUUUUCCUUCACACUUUGUGUCCAAUUUUGAGUGUAAGUGCAUCAAAAUGAAUAUUCUUAUGAUGCACUUCCUCCCAUCAAAACAAUUAAUAAUGCAUAAUUUUCAUUCUUGUCACUCAUGCCAAAAAGCCCCCACACUAGAUAUAACAACUUCCCUACAUGUUGAGAAAUCUAAACUAAAUAUGGCACUUUCACGUGUCUAGAGGUAUAACAACUCAUAUUAUAAAAACAAUGCCACAUUAUUUAUCGACUUUUCCUUAAUAUGGAAUGUCACAUAUGUUGGAACCAAAAUAAGAGAAAAGAAUUUAAUGCCAGAUAUGUGUAUCCAUUUUUCAACACUAAGCUGCCUAGUUAUAUCUUUACAAAUAAAGAGCUAAUUAUAUCUUUUGUAAAAGAAAAAAAAAAAAAAUAGCUAACUAUAUGCAAAACCAUGAUAAUUAUAGGCACGUCUUAAUUCUUAAUAGUAUACCAUAGUCCGUCCAUAAGUGAUCACCAACAUGUGAACUUAUUUGGUUGCCGAACGACAUGUGAAAUGAUAGACCCAUGCCACUGUAUGAAUGUUACUUAAUAAUAAAAUCAUACACUAUUUUAUUGUAAGUCAACUUUUGAGGAAAAUUAUUAACUAUGAGGUAGUUAUUGGUUAGAAUUUAAAGUGAAUUGUAAUCAUAAAUAUAUAUACUUAAAUGACCUCUAAAACUAUAUAUACUUAUGAUUACAAUUCACUUUUCUUUACUUAUGAUAAAAAUUCACUUUUCUUUAGAAUUUAAAGUGAAUUGUAAUCAUAAGUAUCAUAUGUUUUCUUUUCUUACUGUAAAUUAAUGUUACUAGUAUAACUUACCCGUGCUAUCGCCCGGGUUAAUGUUUUAUGAAAAAUAUAGAUCAUUUUUUUUCACACAUGAAAAAUAUGGAUUAUUAAAAUUUUAAUAUUGUGAUUUUUUUAAUUAUUUGUAAAAUUAAUUUUAUAUUUAAUGUAAUAGUUUAUUUAAAAAUGAUAAAAUAUCCAAAUUUUGGAGAUUUUAAGGAGAAAUGGCAUAAUGGAGAGUGAUACUCCACUCCCCGUUCUCAACUCACAUGUUCAUAUAUUUAUUCUUUUAUUUUCAUAAAAAAAAAAUCAUUAUGCAAAAAUUAAUCUAACGGUUAAUAUAUUUGUUCUUAAUCGUCAUCUCUCUCCUUUAGACAUUUGUUUUCUUCAGGAGUAUUUUAUCUCAUGUCCCCGUGUGAAAAAAUUUCACAUUUGAGAAGCAAAAUGGGGCGAUUUUAAUUUUAAUAUUAUUUAUUUAAAAGUAAUGAAUAGUAUAAUUAUUUGUCAUUUGCUUGACACAAAAAAAAAUUAUAUAAUUUUUUUAAGCAUAUCUCCUUUGUUAAUGUGCAAAUUUUAAAAAAUGUAUCUAUUUGUUUUUAUUUUUAUUUGUUUAUUUUACAGUGAUGUAUGGAGAAUAAAAAUAAAGUAAUACAUGAUAUUAUUGCUUUUAAUUCUUUUUUUUAUAUAUAAAAUCAUUGUUACUUUCUCUGCUUUCAAUNNNNNNNNNNNNNNNNNNNNNNNNNNNNNNNNNNNNNNNNNNNNNNNNNNNNNNNNNNNNNNNNNNNNNNNNNNNNNNNNNNNNNNNNNNNNNNNNNNNNNNNNNNNNNNNNNNNNNNNNNNNNNNNNNNNNNNNNNNNNNNNNNNNNNNNNNNNNNNNNNNNNNNNNNNNNNNNNNNNNNNNNNNNNNNNNNNNNNNNNNNNNNNNNNNNNNNNNNNNNNNNNNNNNNNNNNNNNNNNNNNNNNNNNNNNNNNNNNNNNNNNNNNNNNNNNNNNNNNNNNNNNNNNNNNNNNNNNNNNNNNNNNNNNNNNNNNNNNNNNNNNNNNNNNNNNNNNNNNNNNNNNNNNNNNNNNNNNNNNNNNNNNNNNNNNNNNNNNNNNNNNNNNNNNNNNNNNNNNNNNNNNNNNNNNNNNNNNNNNNNNNNNNNNNNNNNNNNNNNNNNNNNNNNNNNNNNNNNNNNNNNNNNNNNNNNNNNNNNNNNNNNNNNNNNNNNNNNNNNNNNNNNNNNNNNNNNNNNNNNNNNNNNNNNNNNNNNNNNNNNNNNNNNNNNNNNNNNNNNNNNNNNNNNNNNNNNNNUUAUAUAUAAAAUAUGAUAUAUCUGACAAUUGAGUUAAACUUACAUAUAUGAAAUAAUCUAAUUUUAAGUAACUAAUUUGUCACAAAAACUUUGGAAGCUAGUGUGUCAAAUAUAAUGUUAGAGACAACACUCCAAUAUUCUUGAAUUUUGUUGGACCUGUUAUUUUUCAUAUCUAAUUAUUUUAAAAUAUAUUUAAAUUUUGAAUUAGUUUUGUAUAUUGGUUGUCCAUAUCAAUCAAAAUUAUAGGUUAGGAAGUUUUUUUCUUUUAUUAUUAAUUAUUUUUAUUUAUUUGAGAGGCAAAGUAAAGAAAGAAAGAAAAACUCUAGAGUAUCCAAAUGUUCAUCAAUUAAUGAUUUAUGUUUUCUUUUCUUAUACUGUAAAUUAAUGUUAUUUCAAGAGAAAAAAAAACUCAACUAACAACUGUGUGAAUAUACAAUAUUGGUCUGUAAAGUCCAACCUAACUAACAAUACUAAUAUUGUUGAAUUUAUUUAUAAAUAAAAAUUGUUUUUUAAUUCAUUAAACAACUGAUGAUGUAGCUUAUAUAUAGACUAGAUACUGUUGAGGGUAAUUCAUUGUAACCAAUGUUGGUUACUUGUAACACAAGUAAAAGAGUUAGUUAGGUGAUUUUAUGUGAUGAGUUGUGUGUUUGUUAGUUACUUGAUCUUAGGGAGUUAGUUAGGGGUAGUUACUAGUUUGUUAGUAACUUAACCUUUAAGUAACACAUUAUAAAUAGUGGUGUAAAGUGACAAUGUGAUAGUGUGUGAGAUCAAUAACAAUAACUUCUUUCUCUCUUAAUUCUCUCUCAAUUAUGUGUGUAUAUUCUUGCUUUAAUUAAGUUCCAACAGAUACAUCAGUUAAUUAAUAAAUUUAAAAAUAACCUUUGUUUAUAAAUAAUGGUCAUGUUAACUUGUGCCCUAAGGGCACAUGUUAAGGUAGCUAAAAAUAGAAAUAUAUAGCAUUUAAUAAUACAAAGAAUUUAAUGCUUAGAGAAUUGAAUACAACACAAGUUCAAUAAAUAUUUUACACAUUUAUCUUCUUAAUUAACAUGUGCCUUAAGGGCACAAGUUAACAUUCUACUAUAAAUAAUGCCGGAGGAAGUACACAUUACAUUAUGGGACAACAAAUAAGUUAUCCAAAUAGUGAUAAAUUAGUGGUGCAUUCUUUAAUUGAGUGAUUUAAUUGAAUUGGUGUUGCGUCAUCCAUUGGUUGGUUCUUUGAGCCACAUGAAAAGCCGAUUUAUAACCUACCUCAAAUGGACAUGUAUCCAUUAUAAGUGAAAAUAAUACAAUUAAUUUAUCAAAUUAAACAAGAUUGACGCCGACAAAUAAUUUCUUAGUAUGAAGAAAGAACUCAAAGUUUUUAAUGAUAGAAACAAAUCUGACGUACUGUGUUUUUUUUUUCUUUUCAUGUAACUAGUAUCUUAUCAUACAUUUAAUUUUACAUAUAUUCUUUAUCAUACAUUUAAUUAAUUGUGUCCCCGUCAACCUAACUCAGUUGAUAGGAAUAACGUAUAUAUGCAGAAGUCGAAGUUCAAACCUCAAACACUCUAUUUAUUUAUCUUUAUUUUCACAUGUAAUAUUAUACAUCUAUUUCUCCUAGCCGGUUGUGGUAGUAUUAUUCGGUAAAGUGAUGCGAGUGGUUGGAUGGUUUUACCAAAAAGAUUGAAAUGUGUAUUGUUUAUAUGGCGGAACUUUGGGAAGUACUAGAAGGUUUAUAGUAUGCUAAGCAUUUGUGCUUUUGGCGUAUAGAGGUGAAAAUGAUUUCUCUUUAUAGGGUGAAUGUGCUUAAUAGUGGUAAACAAGGGAGUCCGAUAGGAAGAUUGCUGGUAACUAAAAUUACGCGUCUCUUGAAUUUGGAGUGAAAAUGUGUCACUCUUAUCAGAAGACAAACCAAUGUGUUUAUACAUUGACAAAUUCUGGAACUUUUUUAAAUGCUAACAUUUAAUUCUUUGAAGAUUAUUCGUCCCAAUUUAAACACUCGUUAGUAGCUGAUGUUAAGAGGAGUUAUGUUUCCCACUUUAUCUCGUUAUAGUUUUAUUUUUGGGUUUUUUAACCCUCUUUGCCCUCUUUACAAUAAUAAAAAAAAAUAGUAUAUGACUUCAAUUUAGUCUUUGACAUUAGUCAAUAGAUGUUAAAUUAACUUUAAGAAGAAAAAAAAAAUUAAGAUCAAAAUUGAUGGCGUCACAGGCCGCCCGAAGUGUUUUCAAUCAUUCUUCUAUCUGUUUUAUUAAGUAAAUUUUUUAGUCUCGAUUUUAAUUUUUUUCUAUAAUAACAAAAUUUUAAAAAAUAAGUAUGAAAUAGAACCAAUCCACAUCCAUCAUCACACAUACACAUAUGAGUCACGAGGAAAUGUUUGUGGCGACAAGAGAUCCAAGUGUCAAUAUCUGAAUGGUUGCCCCACUUAAUAAGUUAAAAAAAAUAUUUAGUUUUUUUUAUAAGAAAAAAUUAGGGUGAUAAUAGUGCUCCGGUGCAAGGCCGGGAACAAGGGCGGAGCUCCUUUAGAGUUGGGUAGGGCCGCGGCCUGACCCAAAAUUUUCGAUUUUAAUAGGUUUUUUUAUUUCAUUUCAUUUAAUAUGUUAAUAAAAGUGUUACCUUUCAUGAAUUUCUUUUUCAUAUUUUUAGCUCCUGUUGAGAAAAAAAAUUCAAGUUCCAUUAUGGCCCAUUCCAACAAUUUAUUCUAGCUCCACCAUUGGUAGGGAAGACCUGUCUUUUUUAUAGAUAUUAGCGGGACUCGAACCCAAAACAUUAGAAUUUAAGACCUGUCUUUUUACCAUUCGACAAAGCCUUUAAAGUUUAAAAAAAUAUUAGUUUGUAUCAUUUUAUGUUCAAAAGAAAUAUUUUUCCAACAAAAUUACCCAAAUAAAUAUGAGAGAUUAAAAUAUGUUCGAACUUAUGAUAAAGAUUACACAAGGGUUAAAUCAUUACAUUAAAUUAAAAACAACAAUACAUGUUACUGUAAUUUGAAUAUUAUUUAUUCGUUCAAAAAUUUUUUAAAAAAUUAGAUAUAUAAUCUUCUCAUUUACUAUAUAUCAUUCGAGUUCGAUAUUCACUAUUUUAUUUGUUGUUAAUACAGAUGGCGCAAGGACUAGUGCAAGGAGUUAUGGUUGUGGUGGAGUUGUUCGUGAUAGACAACAAUGGUUAAUGGGUGGGAGGUUAUGCGAGAGGCUUAGGAGAUUGUAGUAUUAUAAUUACUGAGCUAUGCGAGGUAUUGGAAGGUCUGUGUCUUGCUUGGAGGUUAGGCCUCCAUUAUAUAAAAAAAGAAAAAAAAAAUUACAUUAUGACAUGCAUUUAUUUCCAAGUCACUUAUAUUAACUAAGUUUGGCAUAUAAUGUUGAGGACAAAAUCCUUAUUUGAUGUUUUAAAGAUAACAAACAUNNNNNNNNNNNNNNNNNNNNNNNNNNNNNNNNNNNNNNNNNNNNNNNNNNNNNNNNNNNNNNNNNNNNNNNNNNNNNNNNNNNNNNNNNNNNNNNNNNNNNNNNNNNNNNNNNNNNNNNNNNNNNNNNNNNNNNNNNNNNNNNNNNNNNNNNNNNNNNNNNNNNNNNCUUAUAUUAACUAAGUUUGGCAUAUAAAAUACCUAUCCAUAAAAAGAAGCCUAUGAAGGCUUUGUUUUUUAACGAAAAGCAUAGAUAGAUAGAUAGAUAGAUAGAUAUGUGUGUACAUGAUAAUACAUAAAUUAUAGAGUAUUUACUUAAGAAAAGAUAUUAAUACCAUACAUAAAUUAUCUUAUCAACGAACAAAAGAUAAUACAUAAAUUAGAUGAUGAACAUUUGGAUUAGUACCAGCUUAUUCAAAAAUUAAAAAUGGAUUAGUAUGAGUUUGUGUUUAGCUUUUCAUUAAUUCACAAAUCACAAACAUAUACGAAACUCUAUAACCGAUUGUAUAUGUACGUGUUGGAUAUGCCUUGAAAUCUCAGUUACAAGAAGUCAGAAAAAUCUUUGUUGAAUCUUUUUGCAUCUUUGAUGUUUUGAAGAUUUUUUGUGAAAAAAUAUAUUUUUUUGGAAGACACUCUGACNNNNNNNNNNNNNAACUCUAGGGUGGGCGAACUAUCUUUGUGGUACACCUUGGGAAACACUUAUCAAAUUGAGUCUCUUGGCCACGAGAAGAGAUUCGGGUUUUGGGUAGAAUUAGGAUUAAUUCUUGUAACCCAAUUUGGGAAUUUCUUGUAAAGUUACUCGUUUGAUAUAGUGGAACGGAGGGGCUGCUCUCUCCCCCAGACUAGGUCAUUAUUGGACCGAACUGGGUAAACAAACAUUGUGUUCUUUCUUCUCCUUUAUCUCGUUUAUCGGUUAUUAUUAUUAUUGCUUAUUCCGCUUGUUAUUGGUUGUCGUUCUAUUGCUCCACACAUCAAGUUAUUCAUUGGUGUGAUUUUAUGACGAAUUCACAACAGUACGUGUGUAUCAAAGUGUACCAAGACACAAAAGAUUCUUUUGAAAUUAUAAUAGAUAUAUAAUUAACAUGGAUUGUGUCUCUUAUCUUUUUUCUCUGCUUCAUCAACGAAUAGUCAUACGGAGUAUAUUUUAAAAUAAUAAUAACAUCCUCAUUUGUUUUUUAAUGAAAACUAUAUCCUCAUUUGUAAUUCUUAAAUAAAUACUUAUUUUUUAAAACGAAUCAAUUGGAAUCAGUGGCCAUUGGAUAUCCCCAUGGGAUGCAUAUGUUUUUNNNNNNNNNNNNNNNNNNNNNNNNNNNNNNNACAAAGAUGCAUAUGCAUUUUGAAUCUGCUCUAAUAUUAAUGACGAUUUAUAUUGACCAAUAUAUUUAGUUUUAUUUUAUUGAAGAUCAAAUAAUUUAUAUUUUUUGUCAAAAUAAAAAUUAAUUAUGUUUUCAACUGUUAGAACAUGACAUGACAUGGAUUAAUAAUAGUGACACAGCUAACAAAACCAUAAACACACCAAAUGAUAUUGAAAUAUGUCAAUGUUUGAAUUUAAUGUAAUUUGUACACCCCCAUGAUCAAUUAUUGGUCAUAAAUAAAUAUAAAAUCACAUAUUUGAUCCAAUUAAAGUCAUCGUUUCUAUUAUUUUAAUCAAAACAAUUGGUCACGUGGCAUUUUUGUCUCCCAAAGAAAAUCACCUCAUCAGAUAACUUUUUAACUGCUUUGGCUAAAAUGGAAGAGUUGGACAAGUGGUGCACGGUGCACCAAUUGUCAAUAACUCUAUAACGAAUACGAAUUUUAUAAAAUUCACCGUUAGAUAGAAAGUUUAUAUCGUAUAGAUUAUCCAUAUAAAUUUUUUAAAAAUUUGAAAAUCAUUUGAUAUGUUAUUGAGACUCGUCAAGAUUAACGGUUUAUGAAUUUUUAUUAAAUACCGUUAAUUUUGAUAUGUCUCAAUAACACCUCAAACGAUUUUCAAUUUUUUUAAAAAUUUAUAUGGAUUAUCUAUACGAUAUAAACUUUCUAUCCAACGGUGAAUUUUGUAAAAUUCGUAUUCAUUAUAGGGUUAUUGAUAAGUGGUGCACCGUGCACCACUUGAUCCACUUGUGCAUAAUAGAAGCAACCCUUUUUAACUAUGGUUUUAAAAAUUUUCUUUUUGUAUGAGUUGAAAUGAUAAACAUUACUGAAAUUUAAACACUUAAUUUUAAAGUUUCGAAAUCAAACUCACGUGAAGGUUCCAAAUUUAAUAAAGGAGCUAUUUAUGCUACUAGUUACUCGCACGUCAUAUUUCUACACAUCUCAUAAUUAGUGGAUAUUAUAAAAUCAAAAAUUUUGGUAAAAAAUGAUAUCCGCUACUUAAGCAGGUAAUAUUUGAGUAACCAGUAGGGCGGUAUAAAAAUAACUCCCAUUUAAUAAUAUCAACAUUUAUCGGUGAUUUAUAAACUCAUUUUAAAAUUAUUUAACAUGUUAACAAAACCCUUAUAUCAAACUCUAAAAUGUAUUCACUUGAACGAAGAAAAAAAAAAAUGAGUCAACUUCAAGAACAACAUUAACUAUAUGCUCCAAGUCUCCAACAUCAAGUCAAUGCCCAAAGCCUCCCCUUGAUAAAAACAAUCAGCCACGAAGGAGACCAACAUAAUGUAUAUUACUCUCUCCAUUUUACUAAUUUAUAAGAUUGUUUUUCACUUUUUUUUAUCCUUUCUUUAAUACAAGAUUCUUUACAAAAUUCCACACUCAUUAAUAAUUUCUUUUUAUAAAAAUGUUUAUACUAUUAACUUACCUUCAAAAAUGAUAAAUUAUCGGCUUCAUUUCAAUCUCCAUACCCAAAACUCACCCUACCAUUCUUCCAAACUAUAUGAAGGGAAGGAUGGAGUUACAUGCAAAAAAAAAAGUUCAUUUAACACCAAUUAAAAAAAAGGAAAGGUGUCAAUGAAUCACCUUGUUACCUCAAAUCUUUUUGCAUUUCAAAAAAUUAAUUAACAUUAUAAAUUGGUCCAUUAACUAAUUAAUUUUACAAAUUGAUCCCUUUAAUACCUUCAUUUUAAUUAUGUUUGUCAUACUAAUCUUUUUCGUUAGUUUUAAUUUCUUCUAUUGGGUAACCAAUAACUAAACUGGACAUAUUGAACUAGAGAACAUGCACACUAUAAUUAAAAAGGUCAUAAUACUAUUUUAAAUAUACAUAUAUAAAUUUUGAAGUUAGAAAUUCAUUUAAAAAUGAAAAUGUAAUUUAAUUUCCAUAAUUUAAACCACUCAAUUUCAUAUCAAAUUUAAUCAGUUCAAUGACUGAAAGAACUAUGCACAGAAGAACUAUAUAUUGUUAAAAGCUUAAGUUUAAAAUUAUUGUUUACCAAUUGAGAAAUUCCGCUAUUUUCAAGAGUAUCAAAAUAUAUCCUUUUUAUUAUUACUUUGUCUUAUCUCAAGAACUAUGAUUGGAGUAUUAAAUUGUUUUCAUUCUAGCCAGGGGUUGGCCUUACCACAAACAGAACUAGUUGUAGUUAUUGAUGAUCAACAUUCAACAUUAAUUAAUAAAUCAAAGUCAUUUGUGGGCCAUACUUUCCCUUGUAAUUAUGUAUAUAUAAAGGCCAAAGCCACAAGCCCCUCAUGCCAAACCAACUCACUCAAUUCCCCUCACUUGUAGCUUCACAUUUUACAUAUCAUAUCUCUCUCAUAUCUUGCAGUAUGAGCACCCUCCCCACAACACAAGGGAAAACUGUCCCGGAUGCAUCCGAUUAUAAAGGCCGUCCGGCGGACAGGUCCACAACCGGCNNNNNNNNNNNNNNNNNNNNNNNNNNNNNNNNNNNNNNNNNNNNNNNNNNNNNGGACUGCAUCCGCCAUGAUAUUAGGAGGUGAAGUUAUGGAGAGGUUGACAACACUCGGUAUCGCCGUUAAUUUGGUCACAUACUUGACUGGUACUAUGCAUUUGGGCAAUGCUGCCUCUGCCAAUGUUGUUACUAACUUCUUGGGAACUUCCUUUAUGCUAUGUUUGUUGGGCGGAUUUCUCGCCGAUACUUUUUUAGGAAGGUUCGAACUUCAUAUCUUUAUAAAAUAAUUUAACAUUUAGCUCAUGACUUAAUUCAUAUAUUCAAUCGUCGUACAAAUAUUUUAUACUGUCAUUUAAAUAUAAUAAUUGUUAGAUCAUAAAUAUAUUUAACUUUAGUCAUAAUUACUUUUAAAAUUACCCAUAUGAUUAAUUAUAAUUUGUUUAUAUUUUGACAGAUACCUCACCAUCGCCAUCUUUGCAGCUGUUCAAGCAAUUGUAAGAUAAUCUCAACAAAUAAUUUCUUGUUAAUUUCCAUUGUUUACUACUAUAUACUAUAUAUAGUAUAUUCAAAUCAAUAUGUCAAUUGUAUAAUUCAUUGAUCUUACCGAAUGUAUAUUUAUAUCAGGGUGUAACAAUAUUGACGAUAUCAACUAUAAUUCCAAGCCUACAUCCACCAAAAUGCACAAAAGAUUCUGGAUCAUCUUGCAUACAAGCAGACAGCAAACAACUACUAGUGUUGUAUUUAGCACUUUAUGUCACGGCCCUCGGCACGGGCGGUCUAAAAUCUAGCGUCUCCGGAUUUGGUUCCGAUCAAUUUGAUGAGUCGGAUGAAGGAGAAAAAAAGGGUAUGAUUAAAUUUUUCAGUUGGUUCUAUUUUUUCGUAAGUAUAGGGUCAUUGGCAGCGGUGACUGUUCUUGUGUACAUACAAGAUAACCAAGGUAGAGGUUGGGGUUAUGGUAUUUGUGCGGUCGCAAUUGUGGUUGCGCUUCUUGUUUACUUGUCUGGUACUCGCAAGUACCGGAUCAAACAACUUGUGGGGAGUCCAUUAACUCAAAUUGCGGUUGUGGUUGUGGCUGCUUGGAGGAAGAGACACAUGCAAUUGCCCUCAGAUUCCUCAUUGCUCUACGAAGAGGAUGAUAUUCUAUGCGAACCAUCUAAGGCCAAGAAGCAGAGGAUGCUACAUAGCAAACAGUUCCGGUAAUUUUUCUAUUCAUUUUUUUUUAUAGGAACAAAAAUUAAUAAUGUUAUAGAAACUAAAAACAUAUUUAACCUUAUUAUUUGUUAAAAAACAAAAUUAAUCUUAAUAUUAUUAUUUUAUGCAUGCAUAGCAUACAUGAUCCCAUGGUCUUUUUUUUUCCCUGACACUAAGUUACCAAUCAGUCCAAGCUAUAUUUAUAUAUUGUGCAUGUUGGUGUUCCUGUAAGUUGAAGUAGCUUAAUCUAAAGUUUCUCUUCAAAUGAACAUAACAAUUUAAGUAGUAAUUUAUGUAAAAUUUCAAUUAUAAUUUCUUGUUGUUGACUACAAUAAUGCUUGUUAAAUGAUUUUGUUUUUUUUAUUGAUUGGAGUGUUGAACAAGCAAAACUUUUUCAUUUAUAGUUUUAAUUUCUUAUUUCUAGGAUGGAUUCUUUCUAUAAAAAAAAUAAAAUAAGUUGAUGGAUUCUCUACGUUGACUGCCCCGCUUUAUUUUUUAUUCUAUAAAGUUUUUACCAAGAGUUUUGAUUCUCUCUUUUUUUUCUACAAAGAGUUUGAAUAUGUUUCCAUUUAUUUUGGUAAGAGUUUUAAUUUAAAGGAGAGCAAAAUAGAAAAUGACUUAUAAUUCAUUUUUCUUGUCAAGUAGUCUAGCGAUUAGAAUUUUACCUUCUAAGAUGUAUAAAUGAGAGUACCGGUAUUUAAACCUCGAUCCCAACAUAUUACAUGCAACAUUCUUACCAAUUGAAUUUUGCUCACGGAAACACUUAUACAAUUAUGACUUUUUUUAUAUUGGUGAGUAAAGUGAUACUAAAAAAUUCUUAAGCCAUCCAAAACCAUAGCAAUUCAUUUUUCUAAUGCUCCCUCCCAAUUUUGGGACUUUUAUGGAAAAGAUAUAUAUAAACUACACCACCAUAUAAUUACGGGAAAGACUACAUAUCUCCUUUUUCCUCUCCUAAAAAAAAAACAAACAAACUCUUAAAUGCUAAAAGUUUAGGUUAAUACUAAUACUAGAGUUAACACGUUUGAAGGUGGGGCCAUGUUUGAUGUUGAUGUAGCAAAAUCGACAUAUUAUUGUUCAUUAUUGAGCACCACUUGUUCUAAAGAAACAAAUUAUUGGGCGCCACAUAUUUAAUAGUAGUGGGCCAAGAAAUGAUAACUAGGUUAGAUGUUUUCUCUUCUGAACCCGUUAUUCUUUUAUACCCUCAAUAUUUUAAUUUUCGGUUCGCAGAAAUCAAAUUUUUUCUAGUGCAAAUUCAGCGUAAAUUUUGGUUUUUAGAAACCAAAAAAAAAUUUCAAGGCAAAAAAAAAUCUGAUUUCUAAAAACCGAAGUUUUUUGCAAUGAUAAAAUUGAAAAUUCAGGAGAUAUAAAAGAAACAGAGGGGUCGAAAGAGAAAACAUCACUUAUUGAGGCUCAUUUUCUCCGUGGUCAUAUCAUAUUGAACAUGAACAAGUCCAAGAGUAGAAAAACUAGAAACUAAUAAUGUAUGGUUUAUAAUCUUUUUUGUAUAUCGCUUUCAAAUUUGCAAGAUAUCCUUCUAUCUCCUUUCCAAAAUGAUUCUAAAAAUCUAUCUAAGGAUGAGGAUAUAUAUACCUUUUCUUUGUCUUUAGUAAAUGUUAAAAAAAAUUGUCUUCUACCUCUCAAUGAUCAAAUCCCUAAGAGUAAUUUAAGUGAUUGAGUUCAAGUGAUUAACUAACUCUAAUUACAAUUCAACUUAUCGGAAUCACAUGAGUUUGAUAUUUGACUUGCUUGCAUUUCUUAACCAGACUUUUCUUAAUCAUUAAAGUAUACUAAUAUCAUCUCGCUAUACUAAUGUCAUUCGCAUCAAGGUUAUUAACAAGAUUUAAUUGUGUAAAUAUGGUUUUAAUUUGUUGUAAUUAAUAAUUUUCAUUUUGCUUCUUUACCUUAAAGAUUAAUGAAUUACUAAUGGAUUUUAUUUUGUUGAUCAAACAGCUUCUUGGACAAAGCGGCAAUCAAAGGCUCAGAAAAUGGCAGUGAAAUCACAAUCAAGGAGAAAUGGUAUCUUUCUACCUUAACAGAUGUGGAAGAAGUAAAAAUGAUAAUAAGAAUGUUACCCAUAUGGGCCACAACCAUAAUGUUUUGGUCAAUCCAUGCUCAAAUGACAACAUUCUCAGUAUCACAAGCAACUACAAUGGAUUGUCACAUUGGAAAAUCAUUCCAAAUCCCGGCAGCAUCAAUGACCGUCUUCUUAAUCGGAACAAUUCUCCUAACCGUCCCUUUCUAUGACCGCUUCAUUAGACCAAUCGCAAAAAAAGUACUAAACAACUCACACGGUUUAACCCCUUUGCAACGCAUUGGGGUUGGUUUAGUCCUUUCAGUAUUGUCUAUGGUUGCGGCUGCACUAAUAGAAAUGAAGCGUUUGAGUUUUGCGCGAUCACAUGGUUUUUUAGACAAUCCAUCGGCAAAAAUGCCAAUGAGUGUGUUUUGGUUGGUGCCGCAAUUUUUCUUUGUGGGUUCUGGAGAGGCCUUUAUGUAUAUGGGACAAUUGGACUUUUUCCUAAGAGAAUGUCCUAAAGGGAUGAAAACUAUGAGUACCGGGUUAUUCUUGAGCACACUCUCUUUAGGAUUUUUCUUUAGCUCAUUAUUGGUGACUAUAGUGAACAAUGUGACGGGUCCAAACAAACCAUGGAUUGCAGAUAAUCUUAAUCGAGGGAGACUAUACGAUUUUUAUUGGUUAUUGGCUAUGUUAAGUGCUAUAAAUGUGGUCAUAUAUUUGGCUUGUGCUAAGUGGUAUGUGUACAAGGAGAAGAGGCUUGCUAAAGAGGGAAUAGAAUUGGAAGAAAUUGAAGCCUCUACAUUCCAUGCAUAGGGUUUCUCUCAGUUCAACUUUUUUUAUUUUUGUCUUUUUUUAAAGAGUAAAUGAAGUUUAAAAAUAUUUUACACCGUUAUUCAAUCAUAUAUCACCAUUAUAUUUACUCGAUUAUUUCCUAUAAUAGUUCGGCAAAUAUAUUUAUAUGGUGAAAUAUGAGUAAAUAGUUGUGUAAAACAUUUUUAUAUGAUUAAUGGAUGGAUCCAUUAAACUCUUUUCAAAUAAUUAAAAGAGCUUCAUGUAUACAUAUGUUUUUUUUUACUCAAAUGUAUAAAUAUGUUGAGUGCUUCCAUAUGUAAGAAAAUAUAGUAUUUCUUUUUCUUUUUGUUCUUCAGAAAAUUUAGCAUUUCAUUACUUAUGAAAAAAUUCUGAUAUAUUACUCCAUAUUACUAAAAAUGUAAAUAUAUACAUCUCUAGAUGAUAAUAAAUAUAAAGAAAAUUAAUGUCACCAAAGAUUCAAAAUAUAGUCACUUGUAAAAUAUGAAAAUCUCACGCACAACUUCCUCUUCUACUCUUCCAAAAUUCUAAUUUCCUACGGUCUGCGCAUAAUCACACAGUUAGAAAAUUCUCAAAUUAUACGUUGAAAAUAUCACACACAACUUCAUCACUACUUCUUACAAAACAUUAAUUCUUUGAAGUCACUGAUUGCACACAUUCACUCGGUCAGAAAAUCCCCUGACUACACACUGAAAAUCUAAUGCACAACUUCACCUCACUUUUAUAGAAUUUAAUUUCUUAUGAGUCACCGACUGCACACAUUCAUGAAUCACAAAUCCCCUAAUUGCAUCCAAUCCGGUUCUGCUUAAAUGCUUGUAACACACAAUUCCUCCCUAAUUGCAUCCAAUUAAUCUGGUUCGACUCUUAAAUACUUGUAAAUUACCUUUAUUUAUUGGUUCAAAGCCUUAACCAGUAUUCCAAUUAAUAUGACUAAUGUCUUCCAAUUAAUAUGACUAAUGGAGCAACAAAAAAGGACUACAACGACUUUAGAAAAAAAUCUCCCCUCUCUCUCUCCACAUUUCAUUUAUUCCCUCUAAGAUUUCAUUUCUAUCAAUAUAUAAAAUAUUAUUUUCAACGGCAAAAAAAACUCGAAAAAUAUAUUCCGAACUUUUUUCAUAUGAGCAAAAUUGGAAUUUCAGAAAGUUAAAAGAAACGUGGGGGGGAAGAGAAUUUUCCCUAACCUAACUAGAAUCAUUAAUGGGCCUUCCACAUAGAGAGAGAAGCCCAAAAUGAGUCUAACAUGCUACAUAUAGAUGGGACCCCCGCUGUGUACCAUAUUUUUUUCAUCCUAAGUCAACAUUUUCAUAAAAUAUGUUCCUUCCGCUGAAAUCAUGCUCCGGACGUUAUUUCCAUGAAAAUUCUUAGAAUUGGAAGUUUGGUUUAACUCAAUUUUACAAAAAUUGGUUCGUAAGGUGAUGAUUGACUCUACUUUAUAAAUAUAUAUUCAUUGCAUCUCGCAAUUGUUGUGGGACUUCUAACACACCCCUCGCACUUAGAGCCGGGUAUACGGGCCAAGGUCCGCGGGCCGACCCGUUUAACCCGCAGCCCGCACGGAUUUAAGACCAAUUUUUUUUGGCCCGUUUACAUUUUUGUCCGUGUGGGUUGGACCGUUAAAACCGCGGGUUAUGCGGGUUAAAUCCGCGGGUUCGCGGGUUAGCCCGUGGCCCGCCUUCUUUUUUUUAUAUAAUUAAUUACAAAAUUUAUUAGAUAUAAAUAACUUGUAAUUUGGUCCAUGUCCAAAUUCAACUUUUUUAACCACAAAAAAAAAAAAACUUAGUCUAAAGCCUUAUAAAAAGCAACAACACACUCCAAUUUUAAUUAAGUAGACAACAACAAAAACAUCAGGAUUCAGGGAUGUUCUUCUACUUAUAAUCUUUUGUUCUUUUUCGCUAUCUUUUACUUUGUCUUAUAUAUACAUUUGCUAGUAUUUAAAAGAUACAUGUCCAAAUGGGUAGUUAUUUUUCUUGGGGGUAUUUUCCGCUAUUAUGUUUUGAAUAAUUUGGUUACCUUGAUGUGAUUNNUUUAUGCUUUUUUGGGUACAUGUAGAAAGUUUUUCUCACUAAAAUGGACACUGCAAAAAUGACGAUAAGAAUCAGUUGAAUUUGAUUUUAGUUACAUUACUUACAAAGAGAAGAUAGAUAAACUCAAUGAUAUCACAAACUUUAUUUGUUAGUUACAAUUUAUUAUAUGUUAUAACAUAAAAUUAUUAAUAAUAUAUUUUUUUUAAGCUUUCAUUAUAUCAAUAUUUUACUAAUUUAGUUUAUUUUUUGAAUUUUUUUUUUUUUUUUGGUAAUAGUCCGCGGGUUAACCGUUUAACCCGCGGGUUUAUGCGGACCGGACUUGGACUUAAUAUUAUAACUCGUUUAUAUUUGCCGACGGGCUUGUUCGCCCCGUUUAAUACGCGGGUUUAUGCGGGGCGGGUUAAACGGGGCGGGCUAACCCGCAUACCCAGCUCUCGCACUCAACAUUGUUGGGUUUGGGGCGCAGAUAUAAAUAGUGGAUGUCCCGAUCAGAAACUUGAUAGCAGACAGCAAUGUGAGACUUCUUAACAAAAAUAGAAUAUUAAAUAAAGAAUUUAUUUAUGUUGCCUGAUGCCUAUUCAUGAUGGAGAAUAAGUUCACUUCUCAAUUUACAUAGAUUUCAAAAUUGCAGUUUCCAUAACCAUUUUUUUUUCACUUUUAUUUCUUAUAAAAAAGAUCGGGGAGUAUAAAACAAAAGAAAGAAAGAAAAACACUUUCUGUUUGAUUUUUUUACUUUUUUUUAAGCAUUGACUUUUGUUGGUUUAAAAUAAGUUUUUUAUACAUAUCUUCAAAAAAAUAAUCGGAAAACUUGGUUAACCCAACACAAGCGUUGCAUCCAAAGAUGCUACUACGCUAUUAUCCAGUUGGAUUCAUUGGUUUAGACAAAACCAAUGGAUUAGCCAUAUUCAAUAGUCUCAAAAAUAUAUCCAUAGAAGACAAGAAAAAACAAACCAAAAGAAGCUUCUAUUCAAAUAUUAAGCUGCCAUAUUUAUAAGUGGAUUGGUUUGUCUUUAUUAUAAGAAGGCUAUGUGCGAUGAGCUAUGGCUGAGUCAGGCUGACAUAGCAAUAGAAGGUUCGUACGUGCGUACGUAUGUGAACUAUAGUAAUAUACUACAUGGAAAAUUAAAUUGUUUACAAACUUUGAUACUUCAAAAAUAUCCUAAAAUAUCCUAAGCUUAUUAUGCACAUUGCAUGACUCGUUUGAUUUCAAUUUAUUCUUGUUGGAUCAUUUAAAUUAGAGAAGUAUUCUUACUGUUUUUCAAGAUUUGAAUAUGAUCAUUCAUUGUAUUAUUCUUGUAAAUGCAAUGAUAAGUUUUACAACCUACAUAUGAAACUGAAUUUUUCGUUUGGUUGAAAUUAUCCGUUUAAUUUUUUAUAUAUAUUGUCUAAUUUUAUUUUAUUUUUAUUUUACGAAAUUAUACACCUAAACUUGGUCCUCCUAAACUGAAUUUCUUCCAUCAAAUGUGGAGUUUUUUACAAACAAGAGGUGUAUUUUGAUGGUGUUCUGUUUGGGUUCAAUUAAGGGUGUGUGCAUAAAUAAUUUACCUAACAAACAAUUGUAUAACAUAGUUGCCGUUUUGUUUACGUGACGAUGAUCCCUUUUCCCGUUUAACAGGAGUAAAGAGAACAAAAAGUUUUGUCUCUCGUAUAUAUGAACUAUGAAGUGUAUGUGUCUUUGCAUGGAUCUUAUGAGCUGUCAAUAUUUUGUACUCUGUAUUGCCAAGUGGGUGCAUUCCUUGUACUCGGUAGAUACCAGCAUAUACUCCAUCCUUCAUCCCUCCCACAUCUAUGUAUUUCAUCCGUUCAUACUUCAUUCAUAAAAAAAUAUUAACGGUUGGUAAGAUAUCUCACUAGCUUGAAACUCAAACACUCUACUUAUUCAUGUUUAAAUCCCGGACAUAGCUUUAUAAACAAAUACUAAUUUUUUCUCUGAAUAUAAGAUCUCUUUAAGAAAAUUACAGAGAUUAAGAAAGUUGAUUGUAGUAUUAAAUUUGUUAACAAUUGAUAAUGUUUUUACAAUUUUAGAGUAUUUAUUACAUAUUAUAAAAAAAAAAUAUGGAUUAUAAUUAAUUAAAUAUUGGGUACGUUGUUAAAGAAAUAAUGAAUGCCCUUGAAAAUUUGAAAAGAGUCUUAUAAAGUGAGACAGGAAAAAAAUCUCAAAAGAGUAUUAUAUUUUGGAAUGGGAUAGUAAUUUUUAAAUUAAAAGGAACUUUUUCUUAUAUUUUAAAAAGAGAAAUUACACAAAUUCCAAAAAUAUCAUACUACAUUGAGUUCCUUAACUAGUGCCUUAGAGGUACUUAGUUAACAUUUUCCUAUUUUAAAUUGUAUCAAAUGCAAUUACAAAUAAUAUUUUGAUAGUAAUGCUAACAUUACUAUUAAUUAGAUGAUACAAUUUUAAAAAUAUUUAAUAUUAUUUUGGAAAAUUUAAAAUGUCAUUCAUUUUACUUAAAAAAUUGCUAACCCGUAAUAAUUAUGAUCUUUAACUCAAUAACGAUUCAAGGUAUUCUCACAGCUUAAACUCUUUCGAUAAAUUACAAAAUUAAUUUUGGACUUCGGCCUCUUUUGUAACAAAAAAAAGACCGAAGAAUUAAUUCUCUAGGAGUUGAAAGAGAAUAUUUGGAAGAAAAAAAAUUAUUAGGUUAUUUUUCUUUGAGAAGAGUCAUGUUGAUAACUCCCUUAACACUAUUAUGAUUUUUUUUUUUUAGUCAAGUAAAUAAGUAAGAGAAUCUUGAAUUGGAACUCCAAAAUGAUAUACUCCUUCCGUGAUAAAUAUAAGUAGAAUUCAAUUUUUUAAAAUUUCAUUGCAUAAUUAAUACUAUAUAUGAUCAUAUUAUAGACUAAAUAUAUUAAUUAUACAAUGAAAUAAAAAAAAAUGAAUUUACUUAUAUUUUAUAUUUUCUUUUAAUCAACUUAUAUUUUAUACUUAUAUUUUGUAAAAUGGGUAUUUUACGGAAUUAUAUUCAUUGAUUAUGAGUCAAAAGAAAUAAUAUUAAAUAAGUAAUUGACUUUUGAAAGGAAAGAAGAAGAAAAAUGUUGGUGACAAAUUCGAAACAAUAUGUCAACAUUAAUAAAUCCUGGUAAAUUGUGGGCCUAACCUUACUUGAUGUAUAUAAAGUAGGGGUGAUCGCGGUGCGGUUUGGUUCGGUUUUGAGCAUANNNNNNNNNNNNNNNNNNNNNNNNNNNNNNNNNNNNNNNNNNNNNNNNNNNNNNNNNNNNNNNNNNNNNNNNNNNNNNNNNNNNNNNNNNNNNNNNNNNNNNNNNNNNNNNNNNNNNNNNNNNNNNNNNNNNNNNNNNNNNNNNNNNNNNNNNNNNNNNNNNNNNNNNNNNNUCAGUAAGAAAGCCAUCCAAAUACAUCCAAACCAAAUGCGGUUUUCGGUUUGGUUUGGUUCGAUUUGCGGUUUUACUUUUGGAUUGGUUCGGAUACGAUCACCCCUAAUAUAAAGACACACCCCCUUAAACCAUUUGUGUUAUCACCAUCUUAAAUUGCUCUGCUUUGUAACAUUUCACUCUCACCCUGUUGAAAUGGACACUCUCCCCACAACACAAUUGAAAACUGUCACAGAUGCCUUUGACUAUAAGGGUUUCCCAGCAGAGAAAUCUAAAACCGGUGGUUGGACUUCAGCUUCCAUGAUAUUAGGUAAGGUCUAACAAAUUCACCACUACCUACCCUCUCUUCUUUCUUUCUAUUUUUUUUUGUCGGCCGACGAAAUGUCAAAUACUACUGAAAUUCAAACAUACUGCAAAGUUUUGUGUUUAAACUCGGAUGAAGUGUCCGGAGGAUUUAAAUUCAACCUAAUAAUAUCGACAUUGUCAGUUGAGUUAAGCUCUCUUCUGCUACCACCAUUUCUUUUACUAAUUAUAUAUAGUGUGUUUUGUAUGGUUUUUAGGAGGAGAAGUGAUGGAGAGGUUAACAACACUUGGAAUCACGGUGAAUUUGGUGACAUAUUUAACAGGUACAAUGCAUUUAGGGAAUGCUGCCUCUGCAAACAUAGUUACAAACUUCGUAGGAACAUCGUUUAUGCUCUGUUUGUUCGGUGGCUUUCUAGGGGACACAUACGUUGGAAGGUUCGUUCUAAUUAUUUCUCCUUACAUACUAUACUAUCAAAGAGAAGAUUCAUAUAUAAAUUGAUCGGUCGUAAAAUAUUUUUAUUAGUGUUUCUCACUUUAAUUAAUUUAAUUUAAUAAUAGGCUUGGUUUUCAAAUGAUAUUUAUGUUUCUUCUUUCUUUCGCAGAUACCUCAAUAUCGCUGUCUUUGCAGCCGUUCAAGCAACCGUAAGGAAUCAAAACCUUAUAAUAAUAUUCAUAUCUGUUUAAUAAUCAAUAUUCCAUAUUUUCUUAUAGUAAAUAUCAACACAACCAUACUACUCUGCUUUAUCCACCAGCAUCGCCGCCGAUAUUUGAUGAUAAAUUUAUUAUUAUGUUUAAUUUUUCUAUACUUGUUUGAUAUUAGUUUUUUUUUUUUUUGGGUACAUGUUUGAUAUUAGUUACUCCCUCCGAAUUUGAAUAUAAACUUCGUUGAAUAAAACAUAUAUAUGUACCCAAAAAAUGGUUUAGAUAUGUGUAGAGCUGUCAAAAAUGGGUCGGGCCUCGAAAAACAUGGCCCAAAUAUAACUGGACCUUUUUGUCUAAGCCCGUAUGAAAAUAUGGAUGGGUCGGGCUAUUCCUUUGGAUUUCGGACUGGCCCAUUAUAAACAAAUUUAUGUCAUUUUCGUAAAAAUAAUAUUAAUAAAAACAUAAAAAAAAUAUUACCUACAUACUUAUUUAGUCUGAUCCACCAGGUCGACCCAUUUAACAGCUCUAAAUAGAUGCUUUAUUUAAUAAACUUUUUGAAGGAAUUUAUUUAAUAAACUUAAAAAGUUGUUUUUUUGUUCCUAUUCAAAACCGGAGGGUUAAGAUUGUUUAGCUCAGUUGGUAGGGUCAUCGCACUAUAUGUACAUGAACCCGGGUUCGAACCUGAGACACUCCACUUAUUCACCUUUAAGGUGGAUUUUCUAGCCAUUAGGCCACUUGACAAAAAAUAUUUAUGUGUGUUUAUAUACUCCCUCCAUUCCAAUUUAUAACCGGAUAGUAAGAUUUAUGUGUGUUUAUAUACUCCAUCCCAAUUUAUAAGAAAAAAAAAUUCACUUUAUGAUGAUACUUUAAUAGGGUGUUGCACUCUUGACGAUAUCAACUAUAAUUCCAAGCUUAACUCCUCCAAUAUGCACGGAACAUACACAUUGUGUCAAAGCAAACCACAAACAGUUAAUGGUUCUGUUUUUAGCGCUUUAUGUCACGGCGCUAGGCACUGGCGGUUUGAAAUCGAGUGUCCCUGGCUUUGGUUCAGACCAGUUUGAUGCUACUGAUAAAGAAGAGAAUAAGCAAAUGAUUAAGUUUCUCAAUUGGUUCUACUUUUUUGCAAACAUAGGAUCUUUGAUGGCAGUGACAGUUCUUGUUUAUAUACAAGAUCAUCAAGGUAGAGAUUGGGGUUAUGGUAUUUGUGCUUGUGCUAUUCUCAUAGCACUUGUUGUGUUUUUAUGCGGAACCAGUAAGUAUAGAUAUAAGAAGCCGGUAGGUAGUCCGUUGACUCAGAUUGCGGUUGUGUUCGUGGCUGCUUGGAGGAAGAGGAACCUGCAAUUGCCCUCUGAUUCUGCAUUUCUCUUUAAUGAUGAUGAUGUCUUACAUGAACCGCCGAAGAUCAAGAAGCAGAAGCUACCACACAGCAUGCAGUUUCGGUAAACUUUUUUACCCUUGUAUCUUAUCGUAUUGAUAUUUGUAGAGAUAUUUUUAAACACUGUCAUAAUACUAUAACAGUGAAAUGUAAUUUAGUUACAUGUGUUGAGUUAUAUACGCUGACAGUGUAAAAAAAAAUCAUGUAGCUUCUUGGACAAGGCGGCAAUCAAGGACUCGGAAAAUACUGUUGGAAUCAUGAAGAUUAAUAAGUGGUAUCUUUCUACUUUAACAGAUGUAGAAGAAGUGAAAUUGGUGCUGAGAAUGCUCCCUAUCUGGGCAUCAACGAUCGUGUUUUGGACAGUUCAAGUUCAAAUGAUGACACUCUCGGUAUCACAGGCGACCACUAUGGAUCGCCACAUUGGAAAAUCAUUUCAAAUCCCAGCGGCAUCAAUGACAUGCUUCUUAAUUGGAACUAUUCUCCUAACCGUCCCUUUCUACGAUCGUUUCAUUAGUCCAGUCGCAAGGCGAGUGCUUAAAAAUCCACAAGGGCUAACCCCUUUACAACACACUGGAGUUGGCUUAGUCCUUUCCAUUUUAUCUAUGGUUGCAGCAGCUCUUAUUGAAGAAAAACGAAUAAUAUUCGCACGAUCACAUGGUUUAGCGAACAAUCCCAAUGCAAAGAUCCCCCUAACAGUUUUCUGGUUGGUUCCGCAAUUUUUCAUCGUGGGGGCUGGUGAGGCCUUUAUGUAUAUGGGACAACUCGACUUCUUUCUGAGAGAAUGUCCAGACGGAAUGAAAACUAUGAGCAUGGGACUAUUCUUGAGCUCGAGAUCUUUAGGAUUUUUCUUCAGCUCUUUAUUAGUGUCUACAGUGAAUAAAUUAACAGGUCCAAGUAAUCCAUGGAUUGCAAAUAAUCUUAACCAAGGGAGGCUUUAUAAUUAUUACUGGCUUUUGGCUAUGUUGAGUGUUAUAAAUUUGUUCAUAUAUUUGGCUUGUGCAAAAUGGUAUGUGUACAAGGAUAAAAAGCUUGCUGAAGAAGUCAUCUUGGAAGAGUAACUGAUGUAUGAACACAAUGUUUACUGAAAUAGCCAUAUGAAAUAAUGUGAUGUUAAAUCAUUUUAGAAAAUACUUUAUUUUCAAUUUUUUUAUACUUUUGGUUUAUAGUUUAUAUUGAUUUUCCAAUUAUCAUUGUUCUUGCACAAAAAUUGUAUUGUUCUGACAUAGAAUUUGAAGGGGAAAAAAAUUGCUAAUGCUACUUUAUAUUCCAUAGUAACUUUCUAUUAUCAAUCUGUUUUCUCAUUUUAUUUAUUUGUUUUAAUAUACUUCUUGUAUUUUAAUGAAGUUUAAUUGGACUAUCUCAAUGUCCUGUUCCAAGUUUUCAUAAAUUUCAUACUGUGUUUUUUAAUCCAUUUAGGGGAGGUAUCUAUUUUCUUCUCACUUCUCUUAUUUUACCAUUUUAGGGUUCGGUGAACGGUGAACCUGUUUUGAAUUUUCAAACCGAACUGUUAAUUAUUUAUGACCCGUAAAACAUAGCGAUAUGAGAUUUUAGCCGUAAAUGAGAACCGUAAAACAUAGCUGCGGCCAAAUCCAAACAAAAUUGGUACUAUAAUACACCAUGGAAUCCGUGCAUCCAUAUGCAAAAUCCAUCAUUGUUACAAAUUUUCAAGCUCACAAAAUCAAAUUUGUGACAACAACAAAUUUGAGAACUUAGAAAUUUAUCCAAAGUUGUUAAAAAGAAACUCAAAUGCAGUAAACAGAUUCCACAAAGAGAGUGAUGUAGAAUGCGUUUCAAUUCAAAAUAGCACUGCAACAAAAGAACACAAUUUCAUUUAGAAAGUAAUGAAUUGUACACAUGUGAGGAACAUAAAAUACAAAGCAAAUAACAAAGAAAAAUGAGAAUCCUAAAUUAGACAUAAGAAAAGGCAUAAGUUUUUUUUGUCCAACAGUGAGUAUAAAUGUAUAAUACAUACAAAACAAGUGCAAACAAAAACUCAAUUGACAUCUGAAUCAAAAAACAAAACAUGAAUCCAAACUGAAUGAAACUACAAUUCGGUUACUGCAAUUCGGUUCGUGCAGUUAUGAAUUGGUUUUUUGAACUUGGUCCAGGUUAGUGAAUUGUGUUUGAAAUAUAAUUUCAGUUCGUGAACUUACAUAAACAGUUCAGUUUUUACUUUUUACUAGUGCGGUUCGGUUUAGUUAACUAUAAUUUCCAAUUCCAAACAAGGCUUAGUUAAUAAUAUUUAAGUAAAAAAUUAUUACAAGUUUAUGCACACAUUAAAGGUGUUUCUCUACAUUAUUAGACAUAAUACUAAAGUAUAAUCGGCUGUUAUAUGUGCCUCCCUAAUUGGCACAUAGCAUGCACAUGCGCAUGUGAAGAAUCCUCAAUCCGAAAUUAACUCCUACAUUAUCGAAAUCUUUGAAUAACUUAACCUCUCUAAGUAUGGAUUAUUCAAAAGAUAUAUUUGCAUAAUUCAUUAUUUAUGUUUCUAACUAUUGACAAUCAUUUCAUCGCUAACAUGUAAAUAUUUGCAUAAUCCAUUAUUUAUAUUUCUAACAUGUUUGAACUCCGACUCCUCCUAUAAUAUCUUGAUAACUACCAAUUGAACUACACUUACGGGAACAUAAUCACUUUUAAUACCACUAAUCUAAGUAGCAUAUUAGUGCAUCAAACCGCUCCUGCAACGCUCCAUAUGCAAUAAGGCAGAGAGAAUCCAAUUUUCAUUUGUAAUUAAGUUUGUUGGGAAGGAAGGGUCCUCUUGGUCAGUUUACACAUACUGAUCAGUUGCAAAAUCUGCUUUUAAGAAGACAAAAUGAUUAGUUAGCAAGGAACAAAGACAGUGAUUCUCCAUUUCUUUUAACAAAAGUCAUACUAGAUUUGCUGCCCUUUUCUGUUAAUGCAUAAAAUAGGUAAAUUCUCCCACAUUCCCACUACCAACUGUCACACCAGACUGUUUCAAUGAUGUUUUUUUAAAAUGUUUUCUAUUUUCAUCUAGCAAUACUCCUCAAAUGGUCAAAUCUAAAAUUUGAAAUUACUCCCUCCUUCUCAUAAAAUACAUUUUGGNNNNNNNNNNNNNNNNNNNNNNNNNNNNNNNNNNNNNNNNNNNNNNNNNNNNNNNNNNNNNNNNNNNNNNNNNNNNNNNNNNNNNNNUUAAAGUAAAAAGGAGGAUAAGCCCAAAUCAAGUAAACCCUAAAAUACCCAAUAGGCGAUUAGAGCUAGGGCGUGACCUGCAUCUCUAGAGCAACGCCAAAAAGGGUGGACUCUGUGUUACUGGAAAAAAUCUUCUCCUUCCUUGUAUCAACCGCUACCUUGAGAAGAAAGAAAUAAACUUCUCGCAACUGCCAUAGCUUGGAGACCAAGGUUCUCAUCCCUAUUUUCACGCCAUACCACCGAAGAAGAUGCUAAGGACCGGAUUUUUAGGAACCCUUGCUUGGAGAAGAAGACUAGAAGCUCUAUAAAUAGUUCCAUAUUCUCACUUGUAAAAAGGAUCGAAUUCUGACUUAUUAAAUUCCCGGGUUGUUGGGAUUGAACUGAGUGUAAUCACACCAUUUGAUCAAUAAUACAAACCCCCUUUGUUUUUUACCAGAACAAUAUGUAUGUCGGAAUUAGUUGAUGAUUAAGUUGCAUUGAGUCCUAUGUGUUAACUGUACUAGUCGAGUCUAGUGCCAAUCCAUAGCUUGUGCAAGUUGGGCUAACGAACAAUGUCCAAAACUUUCCCACGGUUAAACUGUGGCUAGACUUCUCUAUACAUUUAACACGGUUCAACUGUAGUUAAAUUGGCAACCUGCAUAUUUUGCCACAGUUAAAUCAUGACUAAAUUGAGUCCCUGUACAGGAUGUUUAAGACAAUCGUAAUUGAGUUAUUAGUUUAUAUGAUAUAUGUGGUAUAUUGUUGAUAUAUAUUGAUGUUAGUUGAUUGAAUAUAUUUAUUGAUUUUAUUUAUAUUUUUAUUAGAUGAUAUAUUUUGUUUUUGGUACAAAUUAGAAUUAGAUGAUAUAUAUUGAUGUUUGGCAACUAUUAAUUCAUCACAAAUUCAUAAUUUAUAAAUUAUUUUUUUUAUUUUUUAGACGCUAUUUUAAAUAGUAUUUAAAUUAUGUACAAAAAAAAUAGCAUUUAAACUUAUAGUUUAUGGUUAUCACUUUUUGAUAGGGGAGUUAAGAAAAUAAUAACAUGUUUGCAAAAUGGAAAGGGGGGUUCAGUACUAAUUAAAGUAAAAAAAUUGUUAUUUUUCAUACAAAAAGCAUCUAUUUUAAAAUAAUAAGUACUACCGAUAAGAAGUCUUAUAUCGGUUGCGAGAUGACUUGUUUAUGUGUUUAUAAAUAAGAGACAACCCUCACCUUACAAGCCGAUUUUGUAAGGAUGAGUCAGGUCACUCUCAAUUUAAGAUGAUAUCAGAGCCUCUCCACGAUCCGCUGAACAACCCUGCUAUCAGGUUUCUUAUCAAGCCACCCACCGUUCAUAUCCGCGCACCAAACCCAAUAAUAUUGAGCGCUGAAGUGUGUUAAGAAGUCAUGCAUUAGUUGCGAAAUGGGUUACACCGAACUCUCAAUUUAAGAACUACUUUUAGGGUAACACAUUGUUUGGAAAAAAAUGAAGUACUAGUAUAUUGUUGUUGUUGCAUUGCAUUGCACAUCGAUGUUGAAAGCACGCCUAUUGUAUUGUAUUGUAUAGGUACGCAUUUCCCGGGGGAAUGGAUUCCGCAGGCGUGAGAACAAAGGCUGGCAACAUUUCCACCCGCACUCCCCCCACCUCAAUUCCAAUUCCCUUUUCCCAACCACCCACCAUACUAGUAGUACAUUUUAGGUUUUGAAUAAAUUCAAUUACAUUUAUUUUUACUCAAAAUAAAAUUUAUAUGAAUACUAGUAGGAGUAAAGUCUGACGAUAUUUUUUUAGACGAAAUGAUAAAUAUCACGAAAACUCGUACACAACGGUAAGAUUUCAAGUUUGAAUUUUAGUGAAAGUAUUCAACCUAGCGAUAUUGGCAUUGUCAAUUAAGUUACCACUUAUGGACCUGACAAAAAAAUGAUCUCACCCAAAAUUUUAAUUGAAUUCUCUCAGGUAAUUCAUUCUUGAGUAGAGUUUAUACAUAUGAGUAUGAAUUGUCUCUUAUCAUCUCUUUUAUGUUCUUCAUCAUUAAUUAAUCUCAGUUAUUCAUGCAACAAUCAAUAUCAUGGAUCGCAUGGAUCGCAUGUUAUAGGUCAAGAUAAAUGACUGAAAUUGCCCAUAAAUUCAAAAUACCACACCACAUCUGUUAAUUCAAUUCGUAGCAUUUGACUGAUUUAACGGAUUGAGGCACAAAUCCUCAAGUUUUGGACCAUUUAGUGGGUUUAAUAUGAAGUCAUGAAAUUAUUAAGCUUUGAUUAUCUCAAGAUGAUUGUCUGCUCAAAUGGAAUUCAUACAUGAUUAUUAAAGUAUGGUAGUACUACUAAAAAACAAAAAAUAUUAGUCCUAUUAAUGGAAGAAAAACUGUCGUGUUAUUAGUUUAAAUUUCAGUGAUUUUUUAGAUGCUUUCUCCCUCACAACUCGUGUGCCAGGUUUCCAUUCUCUUUCAAUUCUUCUAUUCCCCCACCACCAACAGUUCAUAUUACAAACUCCGAUGAUACUAGCACAUUUUUUUUAGUAUAAAAUAUUUUAUAUUAUACUGUACCUACCUAUAUAGCUGUAAUUUAAAAAUACUGUACUAUAUAUAUUCAAAAUAAAGAAGGAAAAAAAGUGGAUUGCAUGGACGAAAUAACCCCUGCUAUGUCAUAUUGGUGACAAUUCAAGUUUAUGAGUGCAUACGUAAACAAACAAAAUCAAGUUUGUGAGUGAGAAGUCCUUAACUACACUGUUGUGACUACCCAAUAGUGGCACAUGCAGCUCAGUAAUGGCCAUUUUGAUUUCAACAAGCAAGCAACAAUGUCACCAAGCAUUGCAAGUUUUGUACUGUAACAAAGAUAUAAUUACUCACUCCAUUCUUACAGUACUAUACAAAUGAAUUAAUAGCCGGUCAACAUUUAUAUUUUUUAUUUUUUUUAAACUGACACCCAUAAAAGCCACGGAGCUUACAUUUUCAAAGUCUUUGACUCCAAUAAGUCAUUAGUCACUCACUAUUCGUCUCCUUAAACAUAAACUUAAUACUCUAUCCGGACAUAAAUAUAAGUAAAAAUGCAUUUUUUAGAUUCAAUGAAUAACAGAUGUAUUAUAGUCUAGAUAUAUUUGUUAUUCAAUGAAUCUAAAAAAUGCACUUUUGUUUGUAUUUGUGUCCGGAGGGAGUAUCUCAGAUUUUAAAAAAAAUUGGUAAGUAAAAUCUGAUCAUGUAUUUAGUUGAAUCAAAUACUAUAUCCCAAAACAAAACAAAAAACUCUUUUUAUACUUUAUUGAUUUGAAUUUGUCGUGAAUGGGUCAAGCUCAAUGUUACGUUUGAUGGCCUAUAAAAACAACUCUACACGAUCUCACAAGUUAUAUAUAUCGCUCUAACCUAACAUCCACCUUAAACUUGUACUGAUUUGGGUGUCGGAGUGGUUUUUGUAGGUACAACCCACCCCCCACCCCCCACCCCUUUCAUCUUCGUCAUUAACACUUACCUCAGCCUUCGAAAUAGGUGACUGUGUUGGCUCGUAACCCGUCUAUCUUUGUCGGAUCUUAUAUUUUGGGAUGGAGAUAAAUAUUAACUACUUCCUUUGACCACAAUUAUAGUAAAGAAUUCACUUUUUAGAUUCAUUACUAAUAUAUUUAGUCUAUAAUAUACAUUAAUUAUUCUAUGAUUCAAAAGAGAAGUUUACAACUAUCUUGCUUUAUUUAUCAGAGAUUUCAUUUUUAUAUUUACUUUCUUAACAAGUUUAUCUAAGAAAAUUAUUUGACGUUUUUAUAUCUAAUUGUAGAUAAUUGUUCUCUAAAAAUUGAAUUUACUAAUAAAAAGAUAAACAAAUGAGAUAACUCAUGUUUUUUUUUAAAACAAUCACAUUAAGGACCGGCCCAAAGGCUAAAACAACUCAAGCAAGGACUUUGACUUUAGACCACAAAAUUUUUGGCUAAAAAAAAGCCCUAAAAUUGUUCAAUUUAGUUAUAAAUAUAUGAUAUGAUGACUAAAUUUUUAUUUUCUAGUUGAGUUGGUAAAGUUGAAAGCCUCAAAUCAUUUUUACUCAAAUCUAAUCUUCAACUUUAGCAAUAUUUAGAUUUUUUUUAUUUAUUUUUCAUACAAGUUUACUUUUUUUUAUUUAGCAUUUGCCUUUUUUAUUUUGCAAAGUCUUACGAUAUAAUCUACUUUAAACUGCUAAUUAUAUAAUGAAUUUUGCUAACAAGUGUUCUAAAGACACUCUUUAAACAUAUUAAAUAAUAAACUUUUAUAAAAAUAUAUAAAAUCAAUGUAUUAAAAAUUAAAAUGUUUAAUUUAUUGAAUAAUUAAUUUCUUUAAAUAAAAUACCUAAAAAAUGUCUCGAAUGCACCGAUUAACAUUUGGAGAAUGUUAACAUGUGCACAUAUGACACAUGUUAAGGAAUCAAAAAUAAAAAUUAUACUUUAAAAUUUAUGCAUUUUAACUUUUCAAGGAUUAAAUUUUUUCUAUAAUUAAAUAUUAAAUUUUUAUAUUAAAAUACUUUAAGAUAUACCCUAUACAUAUGUUAACGAGACGCUUAACAUUUUCCUUACACUAAUUUAUGUUGGGUAGGCCUCCUCACAUCUUUAAUAGUGUUCUCUUUUUAUUGACGAUUUUUUUACUCCUGUACCCCUCUUUUUGUUCAAAAUUUGUGUAAUGCCCCUGUUUUGGAAAAAUAUUGUGUAAUACCCCUCUUUUGAGAGGAAUUUCGUUGGACAGCGUAAAAGGUAAUGGCGGAAUCCNNNNNNNNNNNNNNNNNNNNNNNNNNNNNNNNNNNNNNNNNNNNNNNNNNNNNNNNNNNNNNNNNNNNNNNNNNNNNNNNNNNNNNNNNNNNNNNNNNNNNNNNNNNNNNNNNNNNNNNNNNNNNNNNNNNNNNNNNNNNNNNNNNNNNNNNNNNNNNNNNNNNNNNNNNNNNNNNNNNNNNNNNAAAAAAAAAACAUAAACUGCAGCAAGGACUGACGCGGACUGACGCGCGCGCUGAUCUAGGCCGGUCAAUGGCGGAUUUCCCGUUUCCGCCAUCACCCCUGCAUGGCAAGUUUCCCGUUUCCGCCAUCCCCCCCUGCAUGGCACAUUUCCCGUUUCCGCCAUGUGCUUUACACUGUUCCAGCAACAUUCCUUCCAAAAUAGGGGUAUUACGCAAAUUUUUUUAAAAACAGGGGUAUUACACAAAUUUUGAACAAAAAGAGGGGUACAGGAGUAAAAAAAUCUUUAUUGACACAACUCUUUUUGUUGACUUAUACGGAUGAGUAAUUAAUAACCUUGUGUAGUGUUUAAUUAAUGACCCUCUUAAGUAAUGAGUACAUACAAGUCUACAGUAAAAAAAUCAACCCUACAAUGAAAAUGACCCCAUAAAAUUACAAUCCCGUGCAUCCGAUUGAAAAAUUUGCGGUCCAAGAUCCAAAAUCAACCUGCCAUGUAACACCAAAUAAAAUCAAACCACUUUGAGACGUAUGAUCAUAAUAUUUUGUUUCCAAAAUUAAUUAUCUUUGUUGUUUUACGAGACAGACACAUACCACGUGAGUAAUUCAAACAUCUUCAGAAGGACAAAACAAUAAUUUCACCUCAACCAUUAACCAUAGUGUAGUAAAAUCCAUUUAUUAUGGCGCCAUGUCGCUUCCAUAUCUUCCUCUUACUCCUCUCAUUCAUUCUUAGUACGACUUUUCACACCACAACAUUAUGAAAAUCUUGAAACCCUUUUUGUCACAACAAACUUCAACUCUUUCUUAAAUUCAUCAAACCUAGUUCUUGUUCUUUUUUUGUAAUGGCUGGUGGUUGGGUGAAAUCAUUGCAAUGCAAAUCUAAAGCAUAUGAAGAUGUUUACAACCCAAAUACUAAAAACCGAUUACAAAGUGCAAGUUGUAGAAAAAGUGUUCAAAACAUCAAAGAUGUUGUUGUUGAUACAACAAAACCCAAAUCCAAAAAACCACCGCUUCAAAAACAUCAUAGUUCAAGAUACCCAACAACAUCUUCUACUACAAAAACAGAUUUUGAAACUACCAUAAACCGUUCUAGAAGUGCAAACUCAACCACCGCAAACCGCCACCUUCCGUCGCCGGACCCACGUUUUUCUUCUCUCACUGAGCUAACAGAAGGACAUCCUUCAAGGAAUGUAGUUGAGAUUAUUUUCCAUACAAGUUGGGGUCCGAAAACUUUUUCGGGUCGGGUUGAGAUGAUUUUUAAAGUUCAUAACGGGUCAAGAACGGUGACCCGGUUUGAAGAGUAUCGUGAAACGGUGAAAAACCGAUCUGGUUCGGUAAACACGAACAAUCAUGAAGAGAAUGCACGGUGUGUUGCGGAUGGGAAUGAAGUGAUGAGGUUUCAUUGUUUGGGUCCUACUUCCGGCGGUGGACCCUACGGUGGAGCUUGUGUGGGGUCGUUUCCAGGUGGUAAAGGAACGGCGAUCUGCACAUUUUCCGGUAGCGGUGGAGCACAUGAGAGUUCUGGUGGUGGUAGAGGAAGAAGGGCUAUGUUGGUUUGUCGGGUCAUAGCGGGUCGGGUUUCGAAGCAAGUAGGGUUUAUGGACUCGUUGUUGGAUGGACGAGUUGGGUUUGACUCGGUGAGUGGUGAUAAUGGCGAGUUGUUAGUUUUUGAUUCGCGUGCUGUUUUGCCUUGUUUUCUUAUCAUUUAUAAAUUGUAAAGAAAAAAAAUUAUUUACCGUUUUUAAAUUUAAUCUUUGAUUUAUUUUUAUAGUUCUAGUUUUUUUUAGGAAAUACUUUUUCCUGAUUUAUUUUUAUUUUUGAUUUUGGAUGUUUGUAUGUAUCUAUGAAUGCUGAUUGUUGAGUUGAGGUGAUUCCGAACAGCUUUUUUUCAUUGCAUUUGUUCAUCAACCCAUUAUUGUUUCUUUAUUUUAUUUAUCUUAAUUUGUUUUAAUAACUUUCUGGGUCUAUAGCCUAUACUCACAAUAGUAAGGGGCAAAAACCCACAUCUUCCACGAAAUUUGAUUAAGAAUCUGAUUUUGUAAAAAUGAAGUAAGUUCUAUUUAGAAAUUUAAUAUGAUAUCAGAUAUGAGAGUAGUAAGAUUUAUUGAGUCAAAUUCAUCAAGUUACUGCAGAUUAUUUGGAUUAUACCUCCACACAUUAUGUGACGUGGUGUGCUAAGAUCAGCCACUUACAUUAAAUCAUGUACAUCUGAAUAUGGAGAAAUACUUGGAUUUGGAUUACAUAAGUGCAUCACGCAUUUACUGUUUUUAACUGUCCAGUCUAUAAACAAUGUUUGAGAUCAUUUAUGGUUAAUAUUUUUUUAAACCAAAAGUAUCCAGCACGCCUAAGUGUGUAAUCGUAGAGAUUAAUUUUCUCGAGGUAAUUGAGAUUCAUUUAAGGGGUUGAUCUCUCCCAACAAAUGUUUCUCCAUACGCACCGGCCGAUGAUCAAACUCAGAACCAAAUGGUUAAGGAGAUAAUUUACUGUUGAUUUUUUUUUUUUUUGAAGCAAUUUACUGUUGAUUUUAUUAGUCUAGAAUUUGAACUGUCCAAUUUUAAAUCAAUUAUCCAGGCAGCUGGUCCCGGUCCAAAAUACUUGCUUAGGCACAAUUCUAAAUAACACAUAUUAGAGCAUUUUCAAUGGUGAUACUACUUUGAGUAUGAUACAUUACUCACAAGUGGUCCAUACAAUGACAUGUAAUAUUUAUUUAACUCAUACAUAUUUUUCUUCAACGCUAAUACCACUUUGGGUUUUCUACAUUAUUAACAAGUAGUUCUUUCUAUAUUUAAUUUUCUAACUUAAAUUGAUGAUUAUAAAUUGGUGAUACGAUAUCUUAAAUAAGAUAUCAUACCAUCAAUUUUGAUACUCUUUAUGUCAUGUCAUAAAACUACAAUCAUAAAAAAAAAAUUAAGGGGGUGUAUUGGAUUAAGAUUUCACAACACAAUUUUAGCAAAAAAAAUCUUGACGAUUUUAAAAGAUUUUGUGAGAUUAUAUUAAUUUUAUGAGAUUUUAAUUGACUUUUUGAAAGUUAACAACAAAGUCUCAAGGGUUUGAGUGAGAUUGUUGGAUUAGUAUUUUAUGUGUAUUGUCAACUAAAAAGUUUUUCAAAAUCCAUUCCACAAAAAUAUCCAUAAAAAUCGAUACACUUUUGAAUACGAGAGUUAACAUUUAAGGGCCCGUUUGGUGCACAUGAUAAAAGACAGGAUAGAAUAACUGUAUCAUAUCCUGCCGCAAUCCAGUGUUUGGUGAUACAGCAGGAUAUGAUAAGUUAAUCCUGAAGCUUAUCCUAUCCUGUCUCUCUAGUUAUAAUUCUUAUCCUGAAUUUGAGCUGGGUUACCAGCAGGAUAGGAUAAGAAGAAAAAAUAAUUACUGAUUUAUUUUAUAAAAUAUAUUUUAAAAUACAUAAAAUAAAAUUAAUAAAAUAUAAAUAAUAAAAUAAUUAAUUUUUAAAUAUAUAUUUGAUUUUCUCACAAGGGUAAUUUUGUAAUUUAUAUAUUCUAAAAAAUCAAAAUUUUACUAAAAUUACAAUAUUGUAAAGUAAAAUGAUUNNNNNNNNNNNNNNNNNNNNNNNNNNNNNNNNNNNNNNNNNNNNNNNNNNNNNNNNNNNNNNNNNNNNNNNNNNNNNNNNNNNNNNNNNNNNNNNNNNNNNNNNNNNNNNNNNNNNNNNNNNNNNNNNNNNNNNNNNNNNNNNNNNNNNNNNNNNNNNNNNNNNNNNNNNNNNNNNNNNNNNNNNNNNNNNNNNNNNNNNNNNNNNNNNNNNNNNNNNNNNNNNNNNNNNNNNNNNNNNNNNNNNNNNNNNNNNNNNNNNNNNNNNNNNNNNNNNNNNNNNNNNNNNNNNNNNNNNNNNNNNNNNNNNNNNNNNNNNNNNNNNNNNNNNNNNNNNNNNNNNNNNNNNNNNNNNNNNNNNNAACAAAACAACGACGUCGUAGGAAUAGGAAAGAUUUUUGUUUUUCAUCUAUUUUUCAUUUGGUUUGAAUUAUAAAUUUUAUUUUAUUUUGACUUGUGAUAUUUGAUCUUUUUAAUGUGUGAAAUUAUGAAAUAUUGAGCAAUUAUUCAUAUAUAUUUAUUUAUAUAUUAAUUAAAAAAUAUAUUUAAUUAAAAACGGUUCGACCCUGAUUGAACCCGAUCCGACCAAUUGAACCUUGAACCGGUGACCUUGCCGGUUCGAUGACCGGUCCGGUUCUGACAACCUUGAAAAAAAACAAAUUGAAUAAGUGUAAAUGUAAAUGUUGUAUAUUCGUUAGUGUAAAUGUUGUAUUUAUUGUCAAAACCAAAAAGUGGCCUAAAAUGUUUUAAAUGCCCACAAAGAGUCGUUGGCAUUUGGCAAGUCAAAACAAAAAUAAAAAUAGGUGGCAUGACAUGCACAAUUCACAUCCAUGAAUUUUGAUAAAACAAAAAAAUAAAUCACAUCUAUGAACUAUGCGCUACUCCUUUACACAACAAAUCAAAUGUUUCCAUCAGAGAGAUAAUGACAAGUUAUUUUUUCUUCAAAAUGUACAUAAUAAUAAGGGCAUGUUUCCGAGAGGUCACUUGGUUGAAGAAAUGUUCUUCAAUCUUGAGUUAUUUGGUUCGAAACCCGGCACUAUUAAAAUAAGAAUUUAUAAUCGUAGUAAGUAUAACUAAAAGUUAAUGGUUGUGCAAGCUUUUCUCAUAAAGGUGGUAACUGGUAAGAAUGCUAACGUAUCUCAUUGAGUCUAGCUAUAAUGGCUAUGUAAGUGAAUAUGGAUGGAUGCAAAAAGUUUUUGCUUGAGGGGACAUAAAUUAUUGAAUAGCUCACAUUUAAGGGAGAAAUUAUUGUGUGGCAAGUGCAAUAUUGGAAGUCUCAAUUUGCUUAGAAAAAUGAAGAUUUCACACUUUAUAAAUAAGAUGACACAUAAAUCUAAUGCAAGUUUUGGAUAAAAAAUGUAUUGUUCAACUCACGUGCAUGGUCACUUUUAGUCCAAUGUGAAUAAUCUCUUAGACUCCUCUCAUGAUCCAACACACCAAAGUUCUCUUUUCCCAAUUAAUUUUUUUUAAUACACAAGAAUCAGAUAUCGAACUUCUAAUAAGUUGUUUGAGAAACUCAAAUCUCUUAUCACUUAGAUCAAUACUUUGUUGAUAAUCUUAAUUUUCUCUUUCUUCGUAUAAAAAUACGUGUUACUGUUACCCAUAAAAAAAUUGUAGAAAAUCAUAGGUAGCGAUAAUAGCCUAAAAAAAGGUGGUGACGGUGUUUGGUGUGCAUUAUUAUUCCUAGAAAAAUAAAUAAUAAAAACAAAAUGCAUUAAGUUCCGUUUGAAAAGCAUCAAAUUAAUUAAUCGACUAUCAAAGGUUAAACCUAAAACGAAUGGAAAUAGAGUAAAGAGUAAGGAUAAGUAAUCAAAGUGGAAACACAUGACAAGACAAAGGGAUGGUUUGGAACUUUCAAGUUAUUGAUAAGAAAAAGGGGUCCCACUCUCAACUUCAAGAGCUACAAAUUUGAUCAAGGAAGUAUAUAGCACAAGUCAAGUAAAGGGAUCCAAAAAAUGACCCUAAUAUUAACUUGUUUGAUAAUGAAAGGAUGUGACAUAAUUAGUUGACAAUUUAACUAACUACAUGACUCACUAUCUUUGACAGAAAUUCAUAUCACAAUCUUAGUUCCUAGUUUGCUACGUUUUUAUUUCCUUUUGCUUUGCUUAUUCCCUUUCCAAUUUCCAUUUCUUUCAAAAGUUACAUUUCUCAUUUUGUGAUCUUCUAUUAGAAGAAAAAAUUUCCUUUUAUGAAUUCAUUGUGUCACAAGCUCUAAGAGCAUUUCUAGUAGACAUAUUCUAAAUUUAUUUUGGAUACCUUAUCUUUUAUUCAGUGGAUUUUAUUGUACCCCAUCACAUUUAUACAACCCAAAAUAUUCUUAAACAUGAGAUAAGGUAGCUGAAUUAAUUUUUUUGUUGGUGGAUUACAAGCAUAGUUGAUUCUAUAUUGAUGGUAGCUUAAAUGAGGUGGUAAUGUGUAAUUUUUUAUAGAACUCGGAUUGACGCAUAGAUAUGCUCCAAUCAAAAUAAAACAUUAUGAAACAGUUGCAUAGUGUUUAAAACUGGUAAAAUUCUUGUUAGAGAUUAUCUACCUCCCAAAUUUCUUCUUUCGCGCAAACAUACAGAAAAGAAAAUGUUUUCUGAUAUUUUCUAAAAUUUUCACUAAAAAAAUUCGAAAAAUAUUUUCCAAAAUUUUCUACGCAAAAAAAUAAAUUUGGGAGUGAAAAGAGAAAUCAUCAUCAUGAUCAAACUACUAACUGCUAAGCCCAUUUAAUUUGUUUUAGUUGUGCAAGUAAGCCCAUACUUUAAAACGAUAGCCCAAAACAGAUUUUAUGUAUUAUUCUCAAGAGUUAGGAUGGUGUACCCCCACAUCCAACAAACAUACCUCCCAUACUUUCAUAUUUGCUUUCACACUCUUAAUUUUUCUUCUUUUGCCUAAUUCCUUCUUUUGCUUGAUGAAUAAUAGAUCUAUUUACGAUGAAGGGGUCUUUCUCUUUCAAGUUCAAACUUCUUGGUAGAAUUUUCGAAGAGAAAAACGAACUUCAUUGUUCUAGCUCUAACUAGGACAACCAUUUUUUAGAUUAGUUUCCAAUCUUUUGAUUCUCUUUUAUUAAUUGUUUUAUAUAUUUUUUUUGAAGGGAUUAUUAAAAACUUUAUUCCGAGUGAUAUGAUUCUGAUUUCCUAUUAACAUAUAAUUUGGCGGAAAAAAUCUAUUGACUACUCCGUCACAUUUGCAUAACGGCAACUUUUAACUCAUGCCAUCAAUCUUCGCAUAUCAAGCAUUCAUAUCACCCGCUACGAACACCUUCAAUGAUAGUAGUCUUUCGAGUCUCAAUUUCAAAAACAACAUUUAUUAAACUUUCUUGCUGACAAAAUUUGAUGCGGAGAAAACUUGCAAAAACAAUCGCUUAAUGAGCAACUUUGCCAUCAUAAUAUACUAACUAGUAGUGAAUAAAGUGGUGAGACUCUUUAUAAAUUUUCAACCCUUCACCGAUAUAGAUCAUAAAAUGAAUGGAAUGUUUCAAACACACAAAAUUGAAUGGAUUGUUUCAAUAUGAUGUGAUAAUGCAAAUUUGGAUUAUGUGCAACAUGCAUCUCAAUCGUCAAAUCAAGAUCAGACAGUCUAUAUUUUAAACACAUAUUCUACUUUAAAAUUUGAACCAUCAUAAAAUUGUGACCACACACGACUCAAAUCCGUCAAUAAUAAUAUCACAAUAGGUCCUAGUAAAUGCAUCUUUCUACAUUAACUCAUUUAUCUUCCAUGCAAAAUUUAUAAGGCACAUCUUGUCUGGGCCCAAUUUUCAUUCUUGUCAUGUCAUAAUUUUAUUAGAAAAAAAUAGUGAGAUAACAGCUAUAGACGAGAGACCCAAAGGGUGGUAGGUCAUACAAAUUCAUUAAUUAGUUGAAUCGAUUUGAUUGUUCAUACUACAAGCAAGAAUGGAUGGGACUCCAAAUGUGAAAUUGUCGACUAAAUGUCAUCUCCCAAAUCCACAACUUGAUUGUAUGGGUCGAACGGGACCUCAAAUAUCGAAGUAUUCCACCAACACGUACAAGGGUUUCCCAUUCAAACGUUCACGACCCUGUCACAUUCAUAUUCAGCAUGGUCAUACAAACAUUUGAUCGUUUUAGUUAAAUAUGCUUAUAAAAAAACUUUAAUAUCGUCUAUUCUAACUAAGAAAAUAUAGUCGCUGAGUUUGACAUAGGUUAGGCUUUAGACCCCUGUUGAUCGACCUGGCCUAUUUUCAUUAUUCACUCUAGACCAAGGAGCAACGAUAAUUACAAGAUUAACAAAAUCAAUUUUUUAAUCCCAAAAAUAUACUAACAUUUUAUAAUUGUUUCUGGUCUCCACAUUUGACAAAAAUAAUGACUAAAAACACAUGCAUUGAGGGAUUAACAAAAUAUAAAAAUUAAACAAAAAAACUUAAAAUAUUUUUUAAACCAAGACAAAAAAUAUUGAGAAAAUAAAAAAUGCACAUACCUUAAGUUCUGGUAAUUCAAUGACACAUGCACACUCAACUACUUCUGCUCCCACACGUUCUAAAAAACAACAAAAAAACAUGAAUUUAAUGAAUGAAAUCCAUAAAGUAAGACAAGAUAUGAAAAAUAAGGACAUGGUCAUCACCUAGUAAAUCCAUAGCUGCACCAAGUGUUCCACCAGUUGCAAUCAAAUCAUCAACCACAAUAGCACGUUCACCAGCUUCAACAGCUCCAACAUGCAUCUCAAGACAAUCCCUUCCAUACUCCAGAAUAUAUUCUUGAGAUAUUACUUUGCCUGACAUACAAGAUUUUGUUACCAUAAAGAAAAUAUAUAUAUAUGGGACAAAGUUAUUUUUAGUCUUUUGCCUGUCACAAGAUUUUGCCUGACAAAGACACAUCAAGUUUCAUUUACCAAAGCACAAUUUAAUAUAAUUUGGACCAUCUUUGACCAAAACAAAAAUGUUUCAAGAAAAUAGUACUAAUUGAUAAAUUAACAAAAAGCUUAAAUCUUUUAAGUGUGCUUAACUGAAAGUUGAAAGGAGUUAAACUAACUUAUUGAUGAGAAAUGUUCUGUUAAAUUAGCCAUUGAAUUGAAUAAGAGAAUAAAUGCAAAAUGUAAUCUGACGGUCAGAUCCUCUCUAACUGCAGGACGCAUCAAGGCACAAUUGUGCGAGGAAGAAAUCAAGUUUUGUACCUUGAAAAGUAUUUAUUUCCGUUUGAAACGGAUUAACUAACAUACUAGCAAUCAAUGUUGAAACACAAGUAAGGAACAACCUCGUGAACCAUUCUCAUAAAUAUAUUGCACAUUUGCUUAGACCAUGCUAUGCAGGAUUGUGAAGUGAUGAAACAGUGAAGAAUCAAUUGAGUGUUGAUAAAAUUGUGUAGUAGAACAAUAAGCAUAUAUAGUGAUGCAAGUAAAGAGGGGGAAAAAGAAUAAAAUCAAGGGUCAAAGUAUACCAGGCAACUUCUUCGGUUUCCUUAGGGGUACAAACUUUGCUCCUAUUGCCAGGGCAAUGGGAGGACCAAAAAUAAAUCCUCGAGCUUCGAUUCCUGAAUAAUAAACAUGAGAAGAAUUAAUUCACAACACAUGAUUUGAUAACAAUGCAUGUACUAUUAUUGCUGAGUAUAUGUUCAAAACCAUCAAGAAACAAUGGAGAAAAGGGUCAAAUGAAAUAAUCAGUUUUACCAUUUUGUUUCUACUUGCUUCAAAUCAAGGAAUUCUAAGAAUUAAUCUCAUAAUCUUCAUUGUUUGUCAUUAAAAAAUAUGAAUAGUACAAAUAACUUACAGAGACGAUAAUCACCAUAGAAGUAAGAAACGCACCAAAAUAUCGAUUAUACAACAGCAUUAAGGUUACAACUUACAACAUUAAACAAAAGUGAAAAUGGAUAGAAGACACGGAUUAAAUAAGCCAUAAACUCUUAUGAAAAAUAAGUUGAAAAUAACUUAUGGACAUGUUAUUAGUUGUUUCCAUAAACUCUUCCCAGAUAAUCACACUAGUAUUUAUGCCACUAGAUAAAGUUUAAAUAAGCCGACCCGAAAAGCUACAUGGGAUCCAAACAUUAAAGAAAUAGUUCAUACUAUAACAAUGCUAGCUUAUUCAAGCUUAUUUCUAUUACAAAGACCCCAUGCUCAUAGACAUGCAAACAAACACCCAAAAGUCCAAAACAAUAGCAAUGCCAACACAUUACAGAUGUAAUGAUGCCAAAAUACCUAUUGAUAACUAACACAUGAAAAAAAAAUAAAAAAAAUUGGUUAAGUAGUCUGUGGUUACUGGUUAGAAGUUCAACUUUUAAGGUAUAUAAUAUAACUGAGAAAUCUUAUAUUCAAACUCCGGCUUCUACAUAUUGCAUUGUCUCUACCAUGUUCACAAGAACAAUAAUAACACAUGAAAAGUAUUGUAAAAUUCUUCAUCUUACAUUGGAGUCUAUAAUUGAAGAGAAGCUUCCGGGUAUGUAUGUCUCACAAAACACACCUAAAUAUAAUGACAAACCCCCACCAAAUCCUAAUGUGGACACAAAAGGACAAGUCACACACUGCCCUAUUGUGUUCUUAUUCAUUUUCUAAUAAUAAUAGUUGUAUAGUACUGAAAGGUUAAAACACAAACAAGAUGCAUAGUUGUAUAGUACUGAAAUCUAAAAUAGAAUUCAAAGUCACCCCAACAGUAAUUUGGAGGAACCCACAAAUCAUAAUAUAAUAAUAAUGGAAGAGGGAUAAAUCCACAAAAAUCCAACAAGUUGGAACAUGCGUGAAGUGGGUCCAUUUUACACAAGUUGAAAUCAAUUGAUCAUCAAUGGUCCUCCAAGACAAAUGGAUCCACAAAGAAACUAGAACCACUUAAGCUAGAAAACUUAAGAAAACAAUCAAUGGCACCACCUACUAAAACAUAAACAAAGUCAAACAAAAAAUCAUUCACAAAAUAUACAGUUACUUCCAUUGUAUCAUGUUUCUUUAAAAGCACUCAAAAAAACCACCAAAAACAAAGAACCUUACACCAAUAUAUAUUAUAAACAAAAAUCACUUUUUAGAUUAAUUGAAUAAUCAAAUAGUUAAUACACUAUCUAUCAGAUGAUCUGAUGAACUGAUACAUCAGUUAUUCAAUAAAAAUAAUCGAGAAUACAAUAACCGAAUAGUUAAUACACCAUCUAUCAGAUGAUCUGAUGAACUGAUACAUCGGUUAUUCAAUAAAAGUGAUCGAGAAUGCAAUAAUAUUAUACAACUUUCUUGUAUGGGUGGACCCCACCACCUUCAAGCUAAGGAUAGUGAUGACACCCUAACAUUAUUAAUCAAAAAAUGAAAAAACAAAGGAGUUGAAGUUCAUCCAUUUAUUAUUUGGAUUAAAAAUAUUAGCAACAUUUUAGUCUUUUUAUUUAUUUACCUGCAACAACAGAAAUAUUUUUGCCCUUAUAACGUUCAACGAACAAAUCAAUUGUGUCCUUAAAAGCUUUGGGAUCCAGCAACAGAGUUGUAAUGUCUUGGAACAUGAUACCUGUUGUCAUUGCAACAAAACUAUCAGAAACAAAAAUAACGACCCAUUAUCUCUAAGACAAUAAAGCUUAAAAAUUGGAGAAAAAAAUAUUAAAAAAUGAAUCAAUAGACUCAUGGGUAGAGAUGCUAGUUCCUUGGUAAAAAACAAACGAGGGAGAAACAGAGAAAGGAGAAGUUAAUUUAUGGUUAAAGUAGAAAACAAACCGGAUUUAGGAAAAUUGGGGACGACACGAAUUUGAGUUUUGAUGCCGUGAAGACGAGGAUCCUGGUCUGUGUAAGCCGACAUUGUGUGUGUGUAUGCAAACAAGUGAUGAGUUGAGUACAGAGAAGAGAAGAGAAGAAGAAAAUGAAAGGAGAAAGUGGGGAUAACAAUUUACUAUGUACUAUAUUUAUAGAGAGAGAGUCUGUGUGUGCGCAUUGUUGGCAAAAUAAAGUUUGAUAUCAGUAUAAAGAUUUUACUACCCGUUAAUAAUGACACAUUUUCGUAGGAGAAUUUGUCAAACGUAAAAGGUGGGUUUUUCCUUUCAAUUGAAUUUUUGGCAUGUGCAUAAGGUAAAAAUCAAAUCGCUAACGACAUGUUUAAGUAUAGAUUUAAAUUUACUAACGACAUUGUCAAAAAUAAAUAAAUCAUAAGUACAUUCCCAUCCUUUCACAUCAACCGUGUAGAGAGGUAUCCAUCGGCCAGAAUCAUUCUGAUUAGGUAAGAUCGGAAAUAUUUUUUAACCUCACUUGUAGUGUGCAGUUUUCCUCUACGGUACUGGUGUCUACGAUCCUUGCAUUCUACGUAUAAGACUAGUGUCAUUAUAAACAUGGAGUACAGGAAAUGUUUUAUAAGACUAAUGUUNNNNNNNNNNNNNNNNNNNNNNNNNNNNNNNNNNNNNNNNNNNNNNNNNNNNNNNNNNNNNNNNNNNNNNNNNNNNNNNNNNNNNNNNNNNNNNCUUAAGCUUCCUUUUCUGAUUAGUGGUCCACUCCACUAAGAUCUACGAAGUGAAUGGAAAUUCUUAAUUAAAAAACAAACUAACAUUUUAUAUUUUACUAAAAAACAACAACUAACAUAAGUAGCUAGCUCCCGUCACUCAUAAUGUAUAAUAACCCCACAUACAAAUGGGUUCUUAAAUCGUUUUUUGAAAAGAAGAGUGAAAAAACGUCGGUGGAUUUAUAAUUAUUAUUUUUUAUGAUAAGUAGAUUUAUAAUUUUGGUAUAUGAAUGAAACUCUUUUCAGUCAUCAAUAUAAGAAUCAAAUUACGUGAUCAAAUACAUUAGUUUUUCAUUAAACCUAAAAAAUGAUUUAUUUCUACAAAAUUAGUUAGUAAUAAUUUCGUUUCAUAUGAAAAUAAAUAAAUAAAUAAUUUAUUUUCACCAAAUAAAUACAGUAGUAUAUUUUAAAAAAUUAUACAAAGACAAUCACGAGCAUAAUAUUUUUGGUCAUAACAUCUACGCAUAUGACGACGGUAUCUUGCUUCCUAUGUACGCUACAUUAUACCACGUUCAUCUACGAGACAAUUAUUCCACCGAUUCACAACAGGAAAAUACAUGUUGGAACAUUAUGCAUUUUUUCUACAAAUUUCCAAAAAUUGUGUCAAUAAAAAAAAAUAUUCCAAAAAUAAAAUGCAUUAUGACCCAAUUUAACCUAACCCUCGUAUUUUUUUUUCUGCAAUACUCAAAUUAGUAGACAAUAUUUUUAUAUUAAGGAUUAAUUGAAAAAUAUUUUUAUGUUAAAAACUAAUGUGAGUAUUAAUUUUAGCAUACUAGAUUGGACUGUCAAGAAAUUGUAAGAGAUUAAAUUGUGUGUUCACUUUUUUUUAUAUGAAGGUUUAAAAUUGUAAGAUGCUUUUUUUACAAAUUUUAUUUAAAACAUCAUAGAUUCAAAAUUUAUUAGACUAAAACUGCCAAAUUUUGAAAUAAGAAGACUAAAUCCGCAAAAUAGUGAAAAUAGUAGAUUAAAAUUGCAAUUAAAUCUUUUAUAAACCAAUGAAGUAUCAAUGAUGGAAAUUAACAAGACAUUUCAUCUAAAGAACAUAUUAUUAAAAUUUCAACUAAAAUUACAAUUAAGUCUUUUAUAAAUCAAUGAGGUAUCAUUAGAGGUAGACAGGACUGGACCAAAACUCGAAUAAUGAAAAAAUUUAAACAAUUAUCUCAUUAAAAAUCUUAUAAAAAAACAAUAAAAUAAAAUUCAAUAGAGGAAAAAAAAGUAGUAUAGCGCAUACAAAGUAAAAAAAAAAAACUUAAUGAGACAUAUAUGAAAGAAACACUACAACGUUUUUUUACUUUAGACCAUACUUUACUUGCACACGGAUAAAAUAGUGUUGUUGAAAAUAGGAACAAACAACCAUUUUAAAAUGUUGCUUAUAUAUAAUUUACAUAUAUACUAGUACAUUAAGAGUGUAUUUAAUCUGCUAAAAACAAUAAGGAUUUGGACAAUACUAUUCCAAUUGUAGUGUAUUUUAUUUUAAAAUAGUACAUGAUAUUGGCCAAAUUGGAGGAGAAAGAAUUGGACAAAAACCAGAAUUCUUGCCAUUUACUAAAAUGAAAAAAGAAUUAUUAUGUUUCAAGUACAAGUUAUCUAGAAAUUCAAAUCACAUUUUGUUUAUCAAACAUCAUACAAGACAACAAAAUAUUCUAACUUGAUUAUCCUUCUAGUUAGUAUACAAGAUAAACAUACAAUUCUCUUUUUCUCAACAUGCCUAGCUUGUAAUAUUAUAUUGAGAUUAAGACUUAGAUCCAUGAUAAUAUUCUUUAACUAGUUAUUAGAAGUACUAAUUAACACUUUAAUUUAGUAGUACUUCAAUUAGAAGUACUAAUUAUCACUAUAUAAUACGGUAGAUAAUUAGAUUUUGUGUUGUCUUGCACGUACAGGUACAGGCACUAAAUUAAAAGACUGUUGACUAGUGUUGGCGCAUUAUCCAGCUAGCUAGCCACCAAGGCAGCUGUAAUGACUAGUACGUAGUACUCUCUCUGGUCCUAUGUAUAAGAGAAGUUUUAUUUUUUAGGUUCAUCAUAAAACGAAUACAUUUAAAUUAUGUUAUAGUUUAGAUGCAUUCAUUUUACAAUGAACCUAAAAAAUAAAAUUUCUCUUAUAUAUAGAAUCGGAUAGAGUACCUUACUACUACUUC
rnacentral:lncRNA from 1 species